GACGAACGCUGGCGGCGUGCUUAACACAUGCAAGUCGAACGGACAGGCCCUGCUUUUGUGGGGUGCUCGAGUGGCGAACGGGUGAGUAACACGUGAGUAACCUGCCCUUGACUUUGGGAUAACUUCAGGAAACUGGGGCUAAUACCGGAUAGGAGCUCCUGCUGCAUGGUGGGGAUUGGAAAGUUUCGGCGGUUGGGGAUGGACUCGCGGCUUAUCAGCUUGUUGGUGGGGUAGUGGCUUACCAAGGCUUCGACGGGUAGCCGGCCUGGGAGGGUGACCGGGCACAUGGGGACUGAGAUACGGACCAGACUCCUACGGGAGGCAGCAGUGGAGAAUAUUGCACAAUGGGCGGAAGCCUGAUGCAACAACGCCGCGUGCGGGAUGACGGCCUUCGGGUUGUAAACCGCUUUCGCAUGUGACGAAGCGUGAGUGACGGUAAUGGGUAAAGAAGCACCGGCUAACUACGUG
rnacentral:rRNA from 1 species